GAUGAACGCUGGCGGCGUGCCUAAUACAUGCAAGUCGAGCGAACAGACGAGGAGCUUGCUCCUCUGACGUUAGCGGCGGACGGGUGAGUAACACGUGGAUAACCUACCUAUAAGACUGGGAUAACUUCGGGAAACCGGAGCUAAUACCGGAUAAUAUAUUGAACCGCAUGGUUCAAUAGUGAAAGACGGUUCUGCUGUCACUUAUAGAUGGAUCCGCGCCGCAUUAGCUAGUUGGUAAGGUAACGGCUUACCAAGGCAACGAUGCGUAGCCGACCUGGGAGGGUGAUCGGCCACACUGGAACUGAGACACGGUCCAGACUCCUACGGGAGGCAGCAGUAGGGAAUCUUCCGCAAUGGGCGAAAGCCUGACGGAGCAACGCCGCGUGAGUGAUGAAGGUCUUCGGAUCGUAAAACUCUGUUAUUAGGGAAGAACAAAUGUGUAAGUAACUAUGCACGUCUUGACGGUACCUAAUCAGAAAGCCACGGCUAACUACGUG
rnacentral:rRNA from 1 species